AUUGAACGCUGGCGGCAGGCCUAACACAUGCAAGUCGAACGAGUGGCGGACGGGUGAGUAAUGUCUGGGCACCUGCCUGAUGGAGGGGGAUAACUACUGGUAACGGUAGCUAAUACCGCCUACCAUCGGAUGUGCCAAGAUGGGAUUAGCUAGUAGGGGGGGUAAAGGCGCACCUGUGUGACGAUCCCUAGCUGGUCUGAGAGGAUGACCAGCCACACUGGAACUGAGACACGGUCCAGACUCCUACGGGAGGCAGCAGUGGGGAAUAUUGCACAAGGGGCGCAAGCCUGAUGCAGCCAUGCCGCGUGUAUGAAGAAGGCCUUCGGGUUGUAAAGUACUUUCAGCGGGGAGGCGUUACCCGCAGAAGAAGCACCGGCUAACUCCGUGCCAGCAGCCGCGGUAAUAC
rnacentral:rRNA from 1 species